rnacentral:rRNA from 1 species
UUGACCUCGGAUCAGGUAGGAAUACCCGCUGAACUUAAGCAUAUCAUACG